GAUGAAGAACGUGGUGAAAUGCGAUAAGUAGUGUGAAUUGCAGAAUUCAGUGAAUCAUCGAAUCUUUGAACGCACAUUGCGCCCCUUGGUAUUCCAUGGGGCAUGCCUGUUCGAGCGUCAUUUGUACCUUCAAGCUCUGCUUGGUGUUGGGUGUUUGUCUCGCCUCUGCGUGUAGACUCGCCUCAAAACAAUUGGCAGCCGGCGUAUUGAUUUCGGAGCGCAGUACAUCUCGCGCUUUGCACUCAUAACGACGACGUCCAAAAGUACAUUUUUACACUCUUGACCUCGGAUCAGGUAGGGAUACCCGCUGAACUUAAGCAUAUCAAUAAGCGGAGGA
rnacentral:misc_RNA from 1 species